ensembl:lncRNA
AUGCUCAUUUUUGUUUUCCAAAUAUCUUCUGCAGAACAACAUCAGGGCUGCAAAGAUUCUGGCUCCAUGAGCUCAGGAGACGAAUGUGGACAGAAGCACGGAAAGGGCCAAGGCAAAGAUAAAGGGAAAUCUCAGCAACAGCAAGGACAGCAAGGACAGCAAGGACAGCAAGGACAAGGUCAUGGUCACGGUCAUGGAGGUGAUCAUGGGAAAAAGGGACAAGCAUGUGAGCAGCAAAAAGGAAAAAAGUGUUAAGGUCAUAACCUGAGACCAUGGUGGUCCAUGCAUGUCCUCAUGCUUUACAUAUCAAAACUGGGGUUCAGCUCCAUAUUGUAUUCAAAUAAUGAAAUUAAAACACUCUUAAAUGAUG